rnacentral:tRNA from 5 species
GUGGGUGUAGCUCAAUGGUUAGAGUACCGGACUGUGGAUCCGGCCGUUGGGAGUUCAAAUCUCCUCACCCACCCCA